rnacentral:lncRNA from 1 species
AGUGGUGGGGCAGCCAGGCCUGCGCCGAGGGAAACACUUGGGCUGCUGAUCUCCUGGCUGCUGGUGGAGCCCAUGGGAAAUUUGCUCAGUCAGCAGGCUGGUACCUCACCAUUCCCAGCUGUGCCUGCGUUCCACAGCCCUUGGCCCCCGCAACGACUCCAGGCUCCCCUUGGCUUCCUUUUAUACUGAUUGCAAGUCUUAGAGACUGGAGGUGUUACAUCAGGCUGCUGAGCUGUUUGUUUUCUAGGAGAGGCUGGGGCCUGUGAUGUGGAGAGCCUGGGACUGAGGUGGAGGCAACAGCAGAAUAAUGUAAAGAACAACUGAGCCACCAACUGGGAACAACCCAUAGGCCCAACAGCUCCAGAACGGGCAUCCACACCACAGAAUUCAUGCUGCAACGAGAAUGAAUAAGACGAGUGCUACGCGCAACAACACUGGUGACUGUCGCAAACACCAUGUUGCAGGAAGGACAUUACGGAUAAGAGAGUAAACAUGAUUAGGAGAUUGAAGCUCAGAGACUUGUUGGAGCUCACAGCGGCACUGGGACAUUUGGACCAAGAGCUUUUCUCCCUUCCGAGUCAGUGCAUGAUGCCAGAGAACAUCCCUGGGGUUCCCAUGGUGCUGUUAUGGCUGUCCUGUUUCUUACCCUAGAUGCUUUCAGGAAAGACUAAGAUCCUUUUCCUGGAGGGAGGAUAAAGAACCUGGAGAUGAGAAAUGACAUGCCCAAGUUCACACAGCUACUGAGUGUCAACAGCUAUUAAGAGAAAGGGAUGGGAAUAUUCCACUCACUUUAUUUCCAGUCCAGUGUUCUUUUGUGCAAGGAAACCUAGAGAGGUAAUAUAGUUGCCAUGGCUGCAGAACAAAUUGUUCCAAAACCUAGUGGCAUAAAACAAUCACUCGUGGAUUCGGUGGAUUGGGAAUUCGAUAGGGCAAAUGCUUCUCCAUGCUUCUUGGUGUCUGCGGA